rnacentral:piRNA from 1 species
UACGUUCUCUAACUUGAAAUC